ensembl:snoRNA
AGCCGGUGAUGACAAACUAAAAUAUAAACUUUUCUGACACCUACUAUGAGAGCUGAACUCCAGCUCCUGAUUCGAACUUUCUUCUGAGGCUC